UAUAAGCCACCUAGUGGAUGGCUUGGCUCUAGUUGCGACGAAGGUCGUGGCAAGCUGCGAUAAGCCUAGGGUAGGCGCAAGUCGGCCUUUGAACCUAGGAUUACCGAAUUGUGCACUAUGAAUAGUGGUGCACGCAUACCCGGGGAAUUGAAAUAUCUUAGUACCCGGAGGAGAAGAAAGCAAACGCGAUGCCGUUAGUAAUGCGAAUGAAAGCGGCAGAGGGCGAACCGAAUCCGCUGCGCAAGCAGUUAGGAGAUGUGGUGCAGCUUAAGUCCGGAGCGGCGAGCCGAAUGCUUUGGAAAAAGCAGCCAUAGAGAGUGAGAGCCUCGUAGGCAAAGUUGCUUUGGACGUGCUGCAAGAGAGUAGCUCGGCCUGAGUACGUCGAGCGAAUAUGGGGGCAUUAAACUCCAACCCUAAAUAAUAACUAGAGACCGAUAGCGAACAAGUAGCGCGAGCGAAAGCUGAAAAGAACCCACACGCGUGGGGCUGAAAAGAUCUGAAACUAGGUGGUUACAAGAAGAUAUGGCAUGAAAGGAAUGAAGUGCCUGGAAGCGAAAUGCUUAAGCACUAGCGACGGGCAUGGACUAGUGUCAUGUCCUUCUUCUUGAAGCAAGAGCCAGGGAGUGCAUUUGAGUGGCAAGCUUUCAGCGUAGUGAAAGCGAGAGCGCGCAGGCAACGAGGCGCUGGGCAUGAAAAUGCCUAAGUCACUCAUUUGCGACCCGAAGCCAUUGUGAGCUACGCGCGGGGAGGGCGAAGUCGAGUUUACGCUCGAUGGAGGCCCGCAACCUGUCAUGGUAUAUCCUGUUGGGUCACCCGCGGGUAGGGGCGAUAGACCAUUCGAACAUGGCAAUAUCGGGUCCCCUUCGAAGUAUCUUCAGGAUAGCCUCGGGCGAGCUUGCACGUGCGGUAGAGCUACCGAUCAGAAGGUAAGGAGUCGAAAGGCUCCACCUUCUUUUCAAACUCCGAAUGUACGUGCUGCGUAGAACCCGGGAGUCGGCUGCAUUGGGUAAGCUAGUGCAGCGAGACUGCAAAGAUAGUGACUAAGGUUAAGGUCCCUAAAUCCUAGUUGAGUGUGUUGAAGGAGGGCGCUUUCUUAGACAGUCGGGAGGUAGGCUCAGAAGCAGCCACCCUUUAAAAAACGCGUAAUAGCGUACCGAUCGAGAAAGUGCACUCUGAAGAUGGACGGGGCUAAACUAGGUACCGAUACCUUAGCGUGCGAAAGCACGGGUAGAAGGGCGUACUAUAUGGGUAGAAGCUCGGUCUUGAGAUCGAGUGGACCGUAUAGUAGUGAAAAUCCUGGUGUUAGUAACAGCAAUAUACGGGUGAGAAUCCCGUACACCGGAAGCACACGGGUUUCCUCGCCAUGAUCGUCAGCGGGGAGUUAGGCGGUCCUAAGCAGGGAGCUAAUCACUACUCUGCAAAAGGGAAGCCUGUUAAUAUUCAGGCCCUCGGUAUGUAGGUGUGGCAACACAAGGUGGAUUUCUGACGCCUGGGGAUAGGCCUGCAAAGAAGUGCAAAUGGCUGUGGAGUCUCAUUAUGAGGAGAAGCAGCUAAAUGAACUAAGAUGGCUGAAUUCCUGGGCCCGUGAAAAGGGAAUCCACAACGAUCAUACCGAACCGUACCUAGAACCAGCACAGGUGCUGCUGGCUGAAAAGGCCAAGGUGUGGCGGAAGAACCCAGGUUAGGGAAAUCGGCAAGUUGGUGGCGUAAGUUCUCGAGAAGCCAUGUCUGCGCUGGGUAAGCGCAGAUUGCAAUAACUAGGGGGGAGCGACUGUUUCUUUAAAACACAACUCACCGCAAAGUCGUAAGGCUUAGUACAGUGGGUGACGCCUGCUCACCGCUAGUAUGCGAAACUCCCUUCCAACGGAGCGAAGCGCUAGCAAAGAGCGGGAGUAACUCUGACUCUCUUUAGGUAGCGUAAUACCUCGUCACUUAAUAGGUGACUUGCAUGAAGGGCGUAACGACUCCCCCACUGUCCCAAUCUGGGAUCCGGUGAACUCACUGCGUGGUGAACAUGCCACGUACUUCCAGUGGGAAAUGAAGUCUCUAUGAAGCUUGACUACAGCCUGUUGUUGUUGUGCUGUGGGUGCUGCAAAGCGUAAGUGGGAGCGUCGAAACAUGGGCUUCGGCUCAUGCGGAGCGACCCUGUAACACCACUCUGCACCUGCCGCGCAACUUACCAGAAAUGGGACAGCUGCAGGUGGGUAGUUAGACUGGGCGGUUGCUUUCGAUAAGGAAACGAAAGUGACCAAUGCUCUGCUUAGGUGGGUUGGAAACCCACUGUCAAGCACAAAGGCAAAUGCAGGGCUGACUGUAUCCCGAAAAGCGGGGGAUGCAGACUGGAAACAGGGGCUUAACGAACGUUGGAAGCUCUUUUAAUGGGGCUCCAAGCUGUCAAACAAGUUACUCUAGAGGUAACCGGUUCGUGGCUGGUGAGAGUACAUAUCGACCCAGCCGUUUGAUACACCGAUAUGGGCUUAGGUCAUCCUGGCGGUGCAGGAGCCGCCAAGGGCUGGACUGCUCGUCCAUUAAAGACCUACAUGAGCUGAGUUAAGUCCGCCGCGAGGCAGGACGGUAAAAUCUACUGGAAGUGUUAGUGUCAGAGGAUAAGGUUUCCAUAGUACGAGAGGAACAGGAAACCGGCGCCUCUAGCUUACCGGUUGUCAUUUGGCACUGCCGGGUAGCCACGCGCUAAGCGGAUAAGCCCUGAAAGCAUCUAAGGACGAAGCCGCAUCCGAAACGAGACACUUAGGGUGGCCAUAGUACAUGGCUUUGAUAGGGUGGGCGUGUAGACAGGGAGCUUCGGCGACUUGUGAGCGCACCACUACUAAAUCCUAA
rnacentral:rRNA from 1 species